CCUAGGUGGGCAGCAGUGGGGAAUAUUGGACAAUGGGCGAAAGCCUGAUCCAGCCAUGCCGCGUGUGUGAAGAAGGCCUUCGGGUUGUAAAGCACUUUCAGUGGGGAAGAAAGCCUUGGGGCUAAUACCCUCGAGGAAGGACAUCACCCACAGAAGAAGCACCGGCUAACUCCGUGCCAGCAGCCGCGGUAAUACGGAGGGUGCGAGCGUUAAUCGGAAUUACUGGGCGUAAAGCGCGCGUAGGCGGUCUGAUAAGCCGGUUGUGAAAGCCCCGGGCUCAACCUGGGAACGGCAUCCGGAACUGUCAGGCUAGAGUGCAGGAGAGGAAGGUAGAAUUCCCGGUGUAGCGGUGAAAUGCGUAGAGAUCGGGAGGAAUACCAGUGGCGAAGGCGGCCUUCUGGACUGACACUGACGCUGAGGUGCGAAAGCGUGGGUAGCAAACAGGAUUAGAUACCCUGGUAGUC
rnacentral:rRNA from 1 species